rnacentral:lncRNA from 1 species
AGAAAAAGAAAAGAAGAAGAAGAAGAAGUGUGUUUGUCUGGAUGGUGGAGGAAUGGGUUGAACUUGGAAGAAAGAGUUUUAAUAAAAUUUUAUUUUUAAACUUUGCCCAAUACCUUGCUACCACGUGUGCACCCCUUAAGGGAUAUUUUUACAAGGCCUUACAAGUUAUAGGUUGCAUUAUAAUUAUAUUGGAGAAAAUUUGUAAUUUGCAUUUUGUUCCAAUUUAAAGUUCACUUGUAAAAUAGUAUCAUUAUUAAGACUAAU